UUUUAUAUUGGGCUAUAGCCACUCAGCCACACAUGUAUCCAGUUUCCCCCAAAGCCCCCUCCCAUCCGGGCUGUUAGCAGAAUUCCAUGAGCUAAAUGAUAACAUUAGUAGAGUUCCAUGUUCUAUACAAUAGGUCAUUGUUGAUCCAUUUUAAAUACAGUGCUCUGUAUAUGACCAUAUCAAACUCCCUAACUGUCUUUUUCCCCCAUGCUCCUGCUUCUAGUCAGUUCAAGUGAGAGCACAGGAGCAGGUGAGUGGCUCUGCAGUGAGGCAUCAUUUCAGCUCAACUGGAAGAUAUUUUAAAAGGUUGUGUAAGCUGCCAGCUUGUUCGGGGUGCUGUACUCACCUACAGGAUCACAGGAACUGAGAGUGCCAAGCCAGACUCUCUUCAGUAACACUCUGCUAGGUUAUUAUGGUACUGAUAAACGUGAAAUACCAGGUGCAUCAUUCUGACUGUUGGCUUGAGACACCGUGGUCUGUCUGGGGCUUGUAUUCCAUAAUGCAGCCUACUGGAACUGAAUGUCACAGAAGCAUGCUGACAAAGAUGGAAGCAACCUGCAAUGAGGUUUUACAUCAUCUAGAACAUUCUGAGAGAGUCUAAAAACAACAUCCUCCCAACCUGAGCCACUUCUGCCUCCCCUGUGCAGGGCCAGGAAGAGAGAAGGCCAUGGGGGCCAGAAGGCUUUUCACAAGGGCUGUGGAAGGGAGACUGACUUGGCACCUUGGCUCCCAGUUCUGCUGCUCCCAGGAUGUUUCGGCAAUGGCUCCCAUCACCCAGCUCAGGAAGCUUAGAAUUGAUUCCUGAAGAAUUUCCCCCUACUGGGGAGAGCUGAACUCCAACCGGCACAGUCCUCAGACUGAGAACCACAGGGCUGUGCCUGCCACAGCAAGAAAGCUAGAAAGAAGAACGAAGAGAGUCUUGGAAUGAGGAGUGGUUUCAUCCAGUGCCUUCCACCUGAGUAGCAAGUUCAUGAGGGCUGGUGGUUUUCUGUCCAGGUAUAGCUGACUCCCUGCUAUUUCUGGAGAGAAGUGGAAGAGAGAGGUUUAAGACAUUCUCCAAAAAAAAAAAAAAAAAAAAGACAUUCUCCAAGAGGAGGGACAGAAAUUACUUUCUGUCUACUUGCAUGUUUUGUCAUGGUAUAUGGGUGGCCAGAGCUAGUAAAAGCGUCAUGUUUCAGCUUAAGGACUGACUAGACACCAUUUCCUCCUACUUGGGACCCUGAAAUUGCCGCGUUCAUACUGUAGCCCUAGAGAGAACGUGUCACUCUUUCAGGAAGGCUGAGAACUCUCUGACAUUUUAAUGUAAAUAUGUGGAUGUAAGACAAGUGGUCACACAUAUGUCAAGCGAGUAGGUUAAUUUUGCUGUAAAAAGGGC
ensembl:lncRNA